UAGCUAUUAAUUUAAAUAAAAUAUUAAUUUUGUAAAUUAAAAAUAAAUAAUAGAUUUAUAGCUAA
rnacentral:tRNA from 1 species